AUGAUAUGUGUGCAUGAGUACCCUCUGUCUAUUGUUGAUCAUGCUGGAUUCCGAAAAUUUUGUGGUACUUUGCAACCAAUGUUCAAGGUGGUGUCUAGAAAUACCAUUAGGCAGGACAUCAUAAAUAUGUUUGGUGUCCAAAAUAAUAGCAUGGUGAAGUACUUUGCAAAGUUUGAGAACCGAGUAGCCAUCACAAUAGAUUUGUGGAUGGCUUGCCAUCAAAAGAGGGGCUAUAUGGCUGUAACUGCACAUUAUAUUGAUGCUUCUUGGAACCUAAAGAGCUUCCUCAUGAGGUUUGUUUAUGUUCCAUGUCCACACAAUGCUGAGGUUAUAUGUGAAGCACUACAUGCAUGUCUUGUUGAGUGGCACCUUGAGAAGAAGAUAUCCACGAUGACCUUGGACAAUUGUACAUCAAAUGACAAGGCUAUGGAAAUUCUGCCAGAUAAGUUGGACACCUCUUCUCUUAUGUUGCAAGGAUCUUUGUUGCAUAUGCGUUGUGCUGCUCAUCUACUAAAUCUGAUUGUAAAAGAUGGAUUGGAUGUCAUGGAGAAAGGGAUUGAGAGGGUACGAGAUAGUGUUGCAUUUUGGUCAGCCACACCUAAAAGACAUGAGAAGUUUGAAAAGAUGGCACGCCUUUUGAACAAUGAAUACACGUGUAGAUUGGCUCUUGAUUGUAAAACUAGGUGGAAUUCUACCUACAUAAUGUUAAAAGGUGCAUUCCAAUACAAAGAUGUUUUCGAAAGACUUUCAAUACAUGAAAAGAAAUUUACUUGUCCAACUGGAGAAGAUUGGGUCUUUGCUAAGGAGGUUUGUGAUAGGCUGAAAGUGUUCUUUGAUGUCACAGAGUUGUUGUCGGGCACUUCAUAUGUUACAGCUAGUCUUUUCUUUUCGCAAAUAUGUGGCAUUCGGUUGGCAAUUCGUAAAUGGGAAACUAGUAAACAUAGUGUCAUAAAAGCUAUGUCUAAGGAAAUGAAAGACAAGUUCGAGAAGUAUUGGACUGAUGUCCAUGGUCUUAUGGCUAUUGCCACCGUCCUUGAUCCACAUUAUAAGAUGCAUAUGUUGAAGGCUUCAUUUGGGUCAUUGUAUGGAACUGAACAUGCAUCUAUAGAAGUUGAUAAAAUAAAGAAGUUAAUGCUAGAUUUGCUGGCUGAAUAUCAAGAUGUAUCUCAGUGUGUCGAAACAUCUACUGUUGGAAGCACCCCAACUGUUCAUAACGGUAGUGUGGAUGAAAUUUUGGGUGCGUUUGAGCAAUACUUGUCUUCACAACCUGUUGAUGCUUCUCAAGUUCGCACUGAAUUGGACAUGUACUUGGGCGAGCCCCUUAUUCGUAGUACAACGGAUUUUGACAUUAUUAAUUGGUGGAAAGUUGGAGGUGCCAAGUACCCUACUUUGCAGAAGAUUGCUCGUGAUAUAUUACCCAUCCCUGUUACAUCUGUGGCAUCGGAGUCGGUCUUUAGUACUAGUGGGAGGUUACUUAGUGCACAUCGCAGUCGGCUUACACCAAGCAUAGCUGAAGCUCUUAUGUGUAUGCAAGCUUGGUCACGAGCGGACAUGUUAGGUGAUAUCAACUUCUCUUUGCGGUUCAAUCUGUUCUUGAGGAUGAUGAAGAAGUGA
rnacentral:rRNA from 1 species